UACGGAGGGAGCUAGCGUUGUUCGGAAUUACUGGGCGUAAAGCGCACGUAGGCGGCUCAGCAAGUCAGGGGUGAAAUCCCGGGGCUCAACCCCGGAACUGCCCUUGAAACUGCUAAGCUAGAAUCCUGGAGAGGCGAGUGGAAUUCCGAGUGUAGAGGUGAAAUUCGUAGAUAUUCGGAAGAACACCAGUGGCGAAGGCGACUCGCUGGACAGGUAUUGACGCUGAGGUGCGAAAGCCAGGGGAGCAAACGGG
rnacentral:rRNA from 1 species